GUACUGCACUUGGGUGGUGGCAGAAUCUACCAAUCCAAGAGAAAUUGGUACAUCCCACUAAGAAUGAAAUAAUUCUAUGUGGCCUCUUGGUCUUUAUCAGUGGGUUAGUGUGACAAGUUCCUCCUGGGUGCCACCUGGAACUGGGGUAUCAUUGAGCCCCCGACCCACCAGUCUGGAGUCUCUUUCACAUUGUACUGCUGUGACAAGCUGCAAAGCCUUCCAGCCUGCACUCUCACCAGCAUUCCUACAGAUGGAGCCAGCAGCAACCAGGACUGUUUUCAGUAUCUAGGGGCAUUCCUUUCCAUUGAUGCAACACAGAACCAGCUUGAGCCCCCCCCAUUAACCUUGGAAAAUUACACACCAUCCCUGGGCGGACUUUAACGACUACACCAGAACCCGACCCUGAAACCUCACCGCUCAUGAGGAAGACUGAUGAGCAUGACGACCUCUUUUUUUCUGCUCCCCCUGGAAGAGGAAGGUGACUGUAGCUCAUGGGAGUUGCCAGCAGACAAGGUGAACAGAAAAGACAUUGCACAGGGAAAAGCUUUUUGCAGAUUGUGAGGGCUGUGUCAUAGAUUUGCCAGGCCACCAGCACCAUGACUGUGUGACUUGGACUUCAGAGGAUAUAUACUUCAAGCUCUGGGUGCUGACCUGUGUUUGGAAAGGUUAUUAAAUGCUGUUAUUGCCAUAGGUUAUGCUUUGCAAUGUCUGAGCCUAACCCAGGAAAAUUUUGCACAAAGAGUGACCUUGGUAAAUGCUGUGCAAAGCACUCGAGCCCCUGACAGUGUUCUAAAGAAAAUGACCAAACUGGGGGAUACCACUUAGCGCGUUAUAUUGACCAUCUGGUCUGCACAAUAAGUUACAGAACCUUGCUUAGGAAAAAGACUACACCUCUACC